rnacentral:rRNA from 1 species
AACCUGCCCUGGAGACAUGGACAACCCCGGGAAACUGGGAUUAAUCCGUGAUAGGUCAUCUCAUCUGGAAGGAGAGAUGGCUUAAAGGGGUACGCGGGCUUCUUCUGCGUAUUCGCUCCAGGAUGGGACUGCGUCCGAUCAGGCUGUUGGCGGGGUAAUGGCCCACCAAACCUGUAACCGGUACGGGCCUUGAGAGAGGUGGCCCGGAGAUGGACACUGAGAGAAGGGUCCAGGUCCUACGGGGCGCAGCAGGCGCGAAACCUUCGCAAUGAGGGAAAGCGUGACGAGGUUAAUCCGAGUGGCCCCCGCUGAGGGGGUCUUUUGUCAGCUGUAAAUAGGCGGGCGAAUAAGGGGAGGGCAAGCCUGGUGUCAGCCGCCGCGGUAAUACCAGCUCCUCGAGUGGUCGGGGCGAUUAUUGGGCCUAAAGCAUCCGUAGCCGGUUCCGUAGGUCCUCUGUUAAAUCCACCCCGCUUAACGGGUGACCUGCAGAGGAUACCGCGGGAAUAGGAGGCGGGAGAGGCGGACGGAACUCCGCGUGUAGGGGUAAAUCCUUUGAUUCGCGGAAUAA